rnacentral:rRNA from 1 species
AUUGAACGCUGGCGGCAGGCUUAACACAUGCAAGUCGAACGAGUGGCGGACGGGUGAGUCAUGCUUUGGACCCUCCCUUCUGGGGGGGGCUAACUACGGGAAACUGUAGCUAUUACCGCUUCCUAUAGGAUGGGCCCCAGUGGGGUUAGGUAGUUGGUGGGGUAAAGGGCCACCAAGGCGACGAUCCCUAGCUGGUCUGAGAGGAUGACCGGCCACACUGGGACUGAGACACGGCCCAGACUCCUACGGGAGGCAGCAGUGGGGAAUAUUGCGCAAUGGGAGAAAGUUGACGGAGCAAUGCCGCGUGAAUGAAGAAGGCCUUCGGGUUGUAAAGCUCUGUUAAUCGGGAGACGGUACCGGAAUAGAAAGCCACGGCUAACUACGUGCCAGCAGCCGCGGUAAUUC